GACGAACGCUGGCGGCGUGCUUAACACAUGCGAGUCGAACGGAAAGGCCCUGCUUGCCGGGUACUCGAGUGGCGAACGGGUGAGUAACACGUGGGUGAUCUGCCCUGCACUUCGGGAUAAGCUUGGGAAACUGGGUCUAAUACCGGAUAGGAGCCAUCUUUAGUGUGGUGGUUGGAAAGUUUUUUCGGUGUAGGAUGAGCUCGCGGCCUAUCAGCUUGUUGGUGGGGUAAUGGCCUACCAAGGCGGCGACGGGUAGCCGGCCUGAGAGGGUGUACGGCCACAUUGGGACGGAGAUACGGCCCAGACUCCUACGGGAGGCAGCAGUGGGGAAUAUUGCACAAUGGGCGCAAGCCUGAUGCAGCGACGCCGCGUGGGGGAUGAAGGCCUUCGGGUUGUAAACUCCUUUCGCUAGGGACGAAGCUUUUUUGUGACGGUACCUAGAGAAGAAGCACCGGCUAACUACGUG
rnacentral:rRNA from 1 species